GAGUUUGAUCAUGGCUCAGGAUGAACGCUGGCGGCGUGCUUAACACAUGCAAGUCGAACGAACCUUCGGGUUAGUGGCGGACGGGUGAGUAACGCGUGGGAAUCUGCCCUCAGGAGGGGGAUAACGGUUGGAAACGACCGCUAAUACCCCAUAUGCCGAGAGGUGAAAUGAAUUUCGCCUGAGGAUGAGCCCGCGUCUGAUUAGCUUGUUGGUGAGGUAAUGGCUCACCAAGGCUUCGAUCAGUAGCUGGUCUGAGAGGAUGAUCAGCCACACUGGGACUGAGACACGGCCCAGACUCCUACGGGAGGCAGCAGUGGGGAAUUUUCCGCAAUGGGCGAAAGCCUGACGGAGCAACGCCGCGUGAGGGAUGAAGGCCUCUGGGCUGUAAACCUCUUUUCUCAAGGAAGAAGAUAUGACGGUACUUGAGGAAUAAGCCACGGCUAAUUCCGUGCCAGCAGCCGCGGUAAUACGGGAGUGGCAAGCGUUAUCCGGAAUUAUUGGGCGUAAAGCGCCCGCAGGCGGCCUUUCAAGUCUGCUGUUAAAACGUGGAGCUCAACUCCAUCAUGGCAGUGGAAACUGAUUGGCUUGAGUAUGGUAGGGGCAGAGGGAAUUCCCGGUGUAGCGGUGAAAUGCGUAGAUAUCGGGAAGAACACCAGUGGCGAAGGCGCUCUGCUGGGCCAUUACUGACGCUCAUGGACGAAAGCCAGGGGAGCGAAAGGGAUUAGAUACCCCUGUAGUCCUGGCCGUAAACGAUGAACACUAGGUGUCGGGGGAAUCGACCCCUUCGGUGUCGUAGCUAACGCGUUAAGUGUUCCGCCUGGGGAGUACGCACGCAAGUGUGAAACUCAAAGGAAUUGACGGGGGCCCGCACAAGCGGUGGAGUAUGUGGUUUAAUUCGAUGCAACGCGAAGAACCUUACCAGGAUUUGACAUCCUGCGAACCUUUAAGAAAUUAGAGGGUGCCUUCGGGAGCGCAGUGACAGGUGGUGCAUGGCUGUCGUCAGCUCGUGUCGUGAGAUGUUGGGUUAAGUCCCGCAACGAGCGCAACCCACGUUUUUAGUUGCCAGCAUUUAGUUGGGCACUCUAGAAAGACCGCCGGUGAUAAACCGGAGGAAGGUGUGAAUGACGUCAAGUCAUCAUGCCCCUUACAUCCUGGGCUACACACGUACUACAAUGCUACGGACAAAGGGCAGCAAACUCGCGAGAGCUAGCAAAUCCCAUAAACCGUGGCUCAGUUCAGAUCGUAGGCUGCAACUCGCCUACGUGAAGUAGGAAUCGCUAGUAAUCGCAGGUCAGCAUACUGCGGUGAAUACGUUCCCGGGCCUUGUACACACCGCCCGUCACACCAUGGAAGUUGGCCAUGCCCGAAGUCGUUACUUUAACCCUUGUGGAGAAGGACGCCGAAGGUGGGGCUGAUGACUGGGGUGAAGUCGUAACAAGGUAACC
rnacentral:rRNA from 1 species